AUGGGGGCGACCAUUGAUCGUUCGUUAGAGGGUACGCGGGGUCCUAACCUUUACAAGAUUUGUGGUCAGGUCCAUCAUCGUAUUGGUUCUCUUUUGCCAUUGAAAGAUGAGUCGCCUUUUGCUGAGAUGUAUAUUUAUGACACUGCUGAUGAAGUGGAUCAUAGGAUGAAUGCAGUCAAUGUAGAUGGUACUUCCUCAGGACAGUUAGAUCGUUCUAUUGUGGAGGGUUUAAAGGAUAUGCUUGACCAGAACAAUUCUUUGGUUAAGAAGUUUAGGAUGGCUAAAGAGAGGUUAGAGGAGCAUCUAGCUGAGCGUAUAGCUAUUAGGAUCACUGCGCCUGGUGAAGGUGAUGGUCCACAGUAUAACCUACCCACGGCUAAUGAGCUGGCGGCCCUGGUUGUUGGUGAUUUUACUUUAGACGCAUCUUCUCGAGAUAUCAUGAUACAUGAUAGGGUUGAAGGGCUGCAGCAAAUUAAUUAUUUGCAUCCAGCCUAUAUGCCAUUGCAGUAUCCACUGUUGUUCCCGUAUGGUGAGAGAGGUUUCCAAAUUGAUGUUCCAUAUAAAGGAUUGCGGGCCGGGGAAAAGACCAGGGGUAGAGUUACUAUGCAGGACUAUUACUGUUAUGCAUGUCAUUAUCGCCUGGAACAGCCAAAUCCUUACUUAUGUUAUGGGUCUUUGUCUUCACAAAUUGUUGUUGACUGUCGCGCUUGCAUUGAUGAGCAGCGACUUUGCUACAUACUUAGGCACCAGGAUGAUUUUCGAUCUGAGCAUAUGCAGGGUGUUAUAGAUGCAGUUGGCCAGGGUUAUGUCAAUGGCUGGUCUGUUGGGAAAAAAACUAUUUGCCCGUCGAGUCAUACUGGUGGGAAACAUUACUUUCAGGAGAACUUCCAAGAUGGUCUUGCAAUCUGUCGAGUGCAUGGUGCCCCUGAUAUUUUUACUACUUUUACAUGUAAUCCAAAGUGGCUUGAGAUCGCUGAGGCCUUACUGUUAGAACCUGGACAAAAGCCACGUGACAGGGCUGACAUUGUUGUUAGGGUCUUUAGCAUGAAACUUGAUGAAUAUCUAGAUGCGAUUAAGUCGGGGCGUGCCUACGGUCCUAUAAAGGCUGGUACUAUCUUUUGCCCUUUCAGUCGGUCUGCUCUCUGA
rnacentral:rRNA from 1 species